rnacentral:rRNA from 1 species
AUGGUAUUGUGUGGUGUGUGCAUGAAUAUGUGGUUGUCGUUGCUCGAUACUGCAACAGGUAUUGUGCUGCACAACAUAUGCUUGCAACAACGCCUAUGUUGCAAAACGGCUGGUCAAGUCGAAUUGCGUUGCCCGCCGUACGAUCGUGCACGAGUCAUCAUCCUGCAGGGUGGAAUCAUUUCCCUAUAUAUUUUGGCUACACCAAACGUACCCAAAGUUUUCAUGAACGCUGAUGCAUCCUGCCAAAAUGCCACGUUACGUAUUGGCCUCGGAUGGAUUCAGGACGGGAAUUUUUGCUCUGUUUGCUCUUAG